UUUGAGCUUUCCCGAACCCCACCUACUGCGGUGCCUCGAAAAAACAACGGACCGGGAAUUCGUUGAGCUGGAGGUGCCCUACAACGGCCAGCCAAACCGGCCGGGCAGCGCCUCGCCCCCGCAGAGCCGGAGCCCCUCGCUGUCCAGCCACGCCAACUUCACCGUCACCUGCUGUGGCCGAAGGUUUGGGGGCAAAUCCUACCAGGCUGUAGACCCUAAGUUGGUUCAGUCCCCCUAAGCCCUCACAAGACGGCGUGCUAGGCGUCGCUCACAUGCCUAAAGGCGGCACCAGCGCAGAACGCAGAUAUGACGAGGAAUUAAAUGAAAUUCAUAUUCGGGACAAAACAUAUCUGAAUAUGGAAACCAACAGAAGUGGCUGGGGAAUGCAUAAUCAGCAAGCAACUCCACUUCCUACUUCCAUCACCACUCCAAAUGUCAAUACGACAAUUAUCACCUCAUGCAGCCAAGGAGCUGCCCCUAGUGUUGUGGCGGUGAGCAAACCUAAUUCUACAACCACCGUUACCACUGCUAUUGUUAACCUUCCCACACCAUCACCUAACGGGGACAGCGAGUUCCCCGCGCCUGCCCUGAACCAGCCACCUCCAGCAAACCAGGGUGUGUUAAGAAUAUCAUCUCUCUAAGUUCUAUUGAUUAUAUUUGUGAUAAUUAGCCUUGGAUCUCAAGGAAUGUUAAGGCAAAGUAGUAGAUAUAGAUUGCACACACACACACACACACACACACACACACACACACA